rnacentral:lncRNA from 1 species
CCUUGUAGGAAGCUGAGCUAAGUGAGCAGCUGAAGAUGAAGGGAAGCCCAGAGGUUUUGCAGGUCACCAGAAAAGCCCUAAUUGAAGGAGGUACUAUACAAAUUUAGAAGAAAUGGUGCGUGAUUGUUUACAAAAGGUUCCUGAAUUUUCAGUGUUUGGCAGAGGAGGAGACAUGGAGAAAUACUGAAACUCCUGCUAAAGGCGCUGUGAGGAGAAAAUCCAGCCUGCUGAAAAGCCACAGGACACAUGAAGACGGUGAGGUGUUUGCUGGCUGGGUGGAAAGAGGCCUGCAGGCAGGGCCGGCCUACCUGUGACACCCCUUCAAAGGGCAGGCGCUGUGCUGGGCUCUGGGACUCGUGGGUGAACUGCACAGAGCUGGGCCCUGCCUUCAGGGAAAGAAGACAAUAAGCAAAACAUACCCAAAGAGAUGGUUACAAAG